rnacentral:hammerhead_ribozyme from 1 species
AUUCAGCUGACGAGUCCCAAAUAAGAUGAAACGCAUGUUUUGGAU